AUUGAACGCUGGCGGCAGGCCUAACACAUGCAAGUCGAGCGGAUGAAGGGAGCUUGCUCCUGGAUUCAGCGGCGGACGGGUGAGUAAUGCCUAGGAAUCUGCCUGGUAGUGGGGGAUAACGUCCGGAAACGGGCGCUAAUACCGCAUACGUCCUGAGGGAGAAAGUGGGGGAUCUUCGGACCUCACGCUAUCAGAUGAGCCUAGGUCGGAUUAGCUAGUUGGUGGGGUAAAGGCCUACCAAGGCGACGAUCCGUAACUGGUCUGAGAGGAUGAUCAGUCACACUGGAACUGAGACACGGUCCAGACUCCUACGGGAGGCAGCAGUGGGGAAUAUUGGACAAUGGGCGAAAGCCUGAUCCAGCCAUGCCGCGUGUGUGAAGAAGGUCUUCGGAUUGUAAAGCACUGUAAGUUGGGAAGAAGGGCAGUAAGUUAAUACCUUGCUGUUUUGACGUUACCAACAGAAUAAGCACCGGCUAACUUCGUG
rnacentral:rRNA from 1 species